rnacentral:misc_RNA from 1 species
GAUGAAGAACGCAGCGAAAUGCGAUAAGUAAUGUGAAUUGCAGAUUUCAGUGAAUCAUCGAAUCUUUGAACGCACCUUGCGCCUUGUGGUAUUCCACAAGGCAUGCCCGUUUGAGUAUCAUUAAAUCAUCAACUCUAAAACCUUUGUGGUUUUUUUAGAGCUUGGUCUUGAGGGUUUUGCAGGCUUUUUUUUUUCGAGUCUGCUCCCUUUAAAUGCAUUAGCGAGACUUCCCUAUGCUGAACCGUCUCUUUGACGUGAUAUUUAUCUGCGUCGAAUUUUGGUUCUCGUUGGGCUUGCUUCUAAUCGUCUGUUAAAGACAAAACGGAUUUGGGUGCAUAUAUGCGCCUUUUUCCAAAACCUUUUUUGAUCUCAAAUCGGGUAGGACUACCCGCUGAACUUAAGCAUAUCAAUAAGCGGAGGA